GCCACUAACACUCACACACUAAGUAGCAGAGGUGGAGAUUACUGUUUGGUAUUUUAAACUGCUCAUGGCAGAUCAACUGGUGUGAUAGCUCAAUGUUAUCUAAAGCAGUGAGUCCAAAGUCCUAGGCCACUCAAAUGUUAUUAACACUUUAAUUGAAUUCCAGUAUUUUUAUAAUAAAUGCUUCUCAGAUUUACUCAGAGCUUCCCAGUUAGCUCAAAUGGUAAAGAAUCUGCCUGCAAUGCAGGAGACCUGGAUUUGAUCCCUGGGUUGGAACGAUUCCCUGGAGAAAGGCAUGGCAACCCACUCCAGUAUUCUUGCCUAUAGAACCUCAUAGACAGAAGAACCUGGAAGUCGACAUUCCAUGGGGUUGCAAAGAAUUGGACAUGACUGAGCAACUGAACGCACACAAAUUUACUCAGGUGCCAAAGAUACAGUGGGAUACAGCAGACAGACGUCCCUGCCGUCACGCAGCCUCCAGUCACUGGGCUGAUACAGACAAUCAGCUAACAAGGCCGUGGUCUCCUUUCAAAGAAAGUCCCAUUGGCAAGAGGCCUAAAGGAGAUGAGAGAGCAGGCCACAGAGAUACAAGUGGAAGAUCUGGAAACUAGUGCAGCUCUUUUGUGAUGCUGGUUUUCUUUGUACCACUAUUCUCUAUUACCCAUUGGUUGGAUAUAGCACAAAUAGAACAGUCUCAAGGCUUCAGUAAAAUUUAUUUUAUAGUUAAAACAAUAAACUAGGCACAAGAUUGGAGGCUUA